CAGCCGCCGCGGUAAUACGUAGGUGGCAAGCGUUGUCCGGAAUUAUUGGGCGUAAAGGGCUCGCAGGCGGUUUCUUAAGUCUGACGUGAGAGCCCCCGGCUCGACCGGGGAGGGUCAUUGGAAACUGGGAAACUUGAGUGCAGAAGAGGAGAGUGGAAUUCCACGUGUAGCGGUGAAAUGCGUAGAGAUGUGGAGGAACACCAGUGGCGAAGGCGACUCUCUGGUCUGUAACUGACGCUGAGGAGCGAAAGCGUGGGGAGCGAACAGGAUUAGAGACCCCUGUAGUCCCUGUCUCUUAUAA
rnacentral:rRNA from 1 species